AGAUUGUUAAUGGUGCUGUUCAGCGGCUUAAUAAAUAAGCUGUUAUUUUUCAGCCUGACGUCGCCUUCGGCGGUGGUCAUGGUACCGUCCAGCGGGAUAUCCAGAUGUAAGCGAGCAUUCACAUCACCAUCCAACUGGAGCUGCUUAAGGGUGGCACCCAGUGAAUCAUCCAGCGGCGUCUCGUCAAAGUACGGCCCAACGGCUUUUCCUGGCCCGUUGAUAUCGGCGUCGAUCAGCAGUUUUUCUUUCGAAUAGUCCGGGAUCACCGCGGUCAGGUUACUGGCCUUCACCCCGCCCAGCGCGACGCCGUCGGUCUUCAUCCAUAACCCGUCAUUGAUAAAGUUAAGCUCAAUAUCGAGGUUUUUCAGGGCUGGCCAGUCAGGCUGGAAGGCAUAGGUGGCGUUGCGUAACGGCAC
rnacentral:ncRNA from 1 species